GAGAUUUAUACACGAACUGCUAAAUCGCCCCUCCGAGCCUGAACACCCGGACUUCUC
rnacentral:tRNA from 1 species